rnacentral:tRNA from 1 species
GCCUGGGUGGCUUAGUCAGUUAGGUGUCUGACUUCGGCUCAGGUCAUGAUCUCGCAGUCUGUGAGUUCAAGCCCCACAUCAGGCU